CUUAGGUGGAAACGACCCCAUUGAAUAUACGUAUCCAAUUGUAAGCAGCCUUUUGCUAAUCUGCGUCGCGCCGCUUGAUGCUGCUUAGAUGGGAAUUGGCCUUAAAGGUAAAUAAAUCCGAGAGGUUUGAACGCGUGAUUUUCGACAAGUCUUUACACUUGAACUGUUUCUUUUUGGAGCGCGUUAUGUCGGACGGUCGUUGUUGGAGCAAAGAAGCUGUUACAGAUUUUAUUAAUAUUUACCGAGAAUAUCCAUGCCUUUGGCAAAUAAAAAGCAAGGAAUACAGUAACCAAAAUCUUAAAAAUGUCGCCUAUGAUAAACUCGUUAAAUUCUGUAAAGAAGCUGGGUUUCCAAAGGCCAACAAAGAUUUUCUUGUUAAAAAAAUUCAGAGUCUAAGGGGAUCGUUUAGAAAAGAGUUGAAAAAAGUGAAGGAUAGCAAAAGGUCUGGAAUGUCGCAAGAUGAUUUAUAUACACCAGUGCUAUGGUAUUUUGAACUCCUUCAAUUCACCAUGGAUGAAGAGAUUCCGGCUAAUAGUGCAUCGAAUAUUUACGAGGAAACUACCGAAGAUCUGAUAGAAUCUGAAUAUGGUAAAGGAUCUAAUAUUAACGCAUCUACUACGUCACAGCCUAAUAAUAAUCAACAGAAAAACGAUGUAAUAAACGAUUAUUUAUU